GGAGUGCUAAUUUGGGAUCAGGUUUGGGUUUUAGAUCACAGAGGAGGAGUGCUAAUUUGGGAUCAGGUUUGGGUUUUAGAUCACAGAGGAGGAGUGCUAAUUUGGGAUCAGGUUUGGGUUUUAGAUCUCAGAGGAGGAGUGCUAAUUUGGGAUCAGGUUUGGGUUUUAGAUCUCAGAGGAGGAGUUCUAAUUUGGGAUCAGGUUUGGGUUUUAGAUCACAGAGGAGGAGUGCUAAUUUGGGAUCAGGUUUGGGUUUUAGAUCUCAGAGAAUAAGAUGACAUGGACAAUAAUAAUAAAACAUAGAAAAACCUAAUAUCUCCCCAGACCAGAGAGAGUGUAAAGUCUGAGCUUUCAGUCAGUUACUGUGUGUAUCACUGCAGCUACCUGGCUCUCCAACCAUGCAUGAAAUGAGGAGCAGUCUGAAGUGAACAGGAAAUUCCUCUUGAAGGACAGUGGAAUUUAAUAAAAACACAUUUUUACAAUUUUGAAACUCACGCACUUCUACACGUUCCAUUGUCCUCCAAGAGUUGCACUCUGCAGUACUGUAUCAACCUGUACAGAAGCAUAGCGAGAGAAG